UAAUUUACAUUAGAGAGGUUAAGAUACCCCGGUUUCGGUGUACGGGUACGAGUAGUGUCAUCUUGUUUUACUAAUGUCUGUAAUUCGAUCAUACUUUUUCUGUUUUCUUGCAAUAGACAAUGAUAUAAUGCGAAAAAUGCGCACCUUAAUUAGAGUAAAUUAAGGUACAGACAUCGACGAAAAUAUUGCUAACCAAAAUCAUGCUACCCGUACACGUACACCGAAACCGGGGUAUCUUAACCUCUCUAUU